GAUGAACGCUGGCGGCGUGCCUAAUACAUGCAAGUCGAGCGAACGGACGAGAAGCUUGCUUCUCUGAUGUUAGCGGCGGACGGGUGAGUAACACGUGGAUAACCUACUUAUAAGACUGGGAUAACUUCGGGACACCGGAGCUAAUACCGGAUAAUAUUCUGAACCGCAUGGUUCAAAAGUGAAAGACGGUCUUGCUGUCACUUAUAGAUGGAUCCGCGCUGCAUUAGCUAGUUGGUAGGGUAACGGCUUACCAAGGCAACGAUGCGUAGCCGAACUGAGAGGGUGAUCGGCCACACUGGAACUGAGACACGGUCCAGACUCCUACGGGAGGCAGCAGUAGGGAAUCUUCCGCAAUGGGCGAAAGCCUGACGGAGCAACGCCGCGUGAGUGAUGAAGGUCUUCGGAUCGUAAAACUCUGUUAUUGGGGAAGAACAGAUGUGUAAGUAACUGUGCACAUCGUGACGGUACCGAAUAAGAAAGCCACGGCUAACUACGUG
rnacentral:rRNA from 1 species